rnacentral:rRNA from 1 species
AUACGGAGGAUCCGAGCGUUAUCCGGAUUUAUUGGGUUUAAAGGGUGCGCAGGCGGGAGAUUAAGUCGGCGGUGAAAUUUUGCAGCUCAACUGUAAAAGUGCCUUCGAAACUGGUUUCCUUGAGUGUAGAUGAAGUAGGCGGAAUUUGUGGUGUAGCGGUGAAAUGCAUAGAUAUCACGAGGAACUCCGAUUGCGCAGGCAGCUUACUAAACUACUACUGACGCUCAGGCACGAAGGCGUGGGGAUCAAACAGGAUUAGAUACCCUGGUAGUCCACGCUGUAAACGAUGAUUACUAGCUGUUUGCGAUACAAUGUAAGCGGCUGAGCGAAAGCGUUAAGUAAUCCACCUGGGGAGUACGUUCGCAAGAAUGAAACUCAAAGGAAUUGGCGGGG